UGCUGUGGCGCGAUUCUUUAACUCGUUAUGCAGUCGUUAUGUGUUAAUAACGACUGUUUUUGGUUUGUUUUAUAACGAGAUGUCGCUGUAACGAUAAAUGCGAUUCUAUAAGAAACUGUCAACAAAUUUCAUCGUUAUUAAUACCAAAAAGCAUCGAUAACUUGUUGUUAUGUGUCACUAUCAUAACGUGAGGUCCACUACCCCUCGAUAUGGCAUAACGAGAGUCUGCGAAACCGCAAAGAAACGCGGAAACCGAUAUUUAUCUCACUCUACUUAUGCCUAGUGCAGUAGUACAGCCGUAAAUAUCGAAAUACAGCCCUUGUAAAUGUGCAUCAAAACACUUGUGUACGUGAAACAUCAAGUAGCAUAAACGAUAUUUUUUCUAUUGGAUGCAAUCGGUGAAUAAUAUAUCAGAAAUGGCCAUUGAAUAUUUAAUAUGGGAAUUACCAUUGCUCCUAGAAAGGAUACGUCGAUUAGAACGGCGUUUAGAGAGAAGACAGUUAAGAGACGCGCAAGAUCCUUUUGCUCUUCCACGAGAAGAGUUUAUAAACUGUUUUCGUCUUACUCCAGAAGUUGCAAUGUAUGUAAUUGAUGUGAUACGGGCUGACUUAUGGAGCGAACGGACUACUGGUUUACAACCAGAAAUAAAGGUAGCUUCCAAAGAAGUGUUGGUAAUCUAUUUCAGUUUAAUGUUAGCCAACCAACAACAAACCGUUGCAUUCACGCUGUGACUGAUGCAAUAAAUUUACGCUUACUACGUAGAUGGAUUAAAUUUCCAAUGACGGAAGUCUUUAAUAAUCACAGUCAAAUCUAAUUAAUUUCGGAGUAGGCCCACCAAUAUUACCUGUUGCAGCUUUAUUGGCUCGCAUUUUUGCUACUUUCUGAGAAACAGUGGUUUUAUUGUCUCUCCA